rnacentral:rRNA from 1 species
UGCGCAGGCGGGCUUGUAAGUCAGUGGUGAAAUACUGCCGCUUAACGGUAGAACUGCCAUUGAUACUGCGAGUCUUGAAUAUGGUUGAGGUAGGCGGAAUGUGUUGUGUAGCGGUGAAAUGCAUAGAUAUGACACAGAACGCCGAUUACGAAGGCAGCUUACUAAGCCAUUAUUGACGCUGAGGCACGAAAGCGUGGGGAGCGAACAGGAUUAGAUACCCUGGUAGUCC